GCACCGACCCUGGGCUCUUUAUACUUGGUGCCACUGGCCACCGACCCACCCCUUUCCCUCCUCCUCUACCCCUCCCCCGAGGAGAGGGAGGGAGGGGCGAGACCCUGAUUGACCCGCGGGCCUCGGCCACGCGCGCACUUGGGGACCUCACUAUGCACGCGGCGGUGCCGGACCGGGACGUGCUCAGGGGAGCCUCCCCCUGAGCAUCCUCACGUGACUGCUUCUGCCCAGAACCUUCAUCCUGGGCCUCCACCUUGGGCUCACCAAGCUCAGCGCCCCUUCGGUGGCACAAACCUGGAAAAGUCUGGAAAUCAUCUAAGCACUCUGUUUUCAAAACGUUUAAGACUUCUUUGUAGUUUCAGUAGUUCAGACAGUUUUCUUAGUCUACUGACCACGUGAACAGAAGAACAUCAGAUUUGUAAUGCUGUUGUCAGCCAAAUUAAAUCACAUUUUGUACCUAAUUUAUUAAUUUGGUUGUUUGGUUUUUUUUACCAAGUGACUUAGGGAAUAUUUCCUGACGCUCUGAAUUUCAGGAUAUAGAUAUUGUUCGCUGUAAUACUAAGAACUAAAUGGAAAUCAGACUCGAAAUUCACAUUAUUUCUCACAGUUGCCAUAUCAAUCAUUUUUUGGUUUCUUUGUGAGUAGCUAUGUGACUUCAAACAAAGCACUUUACCUCUUCAAUUUACUUUAUCUGUAGCAUAAUGUAGGCUG
rnacentral:lncRNA from 1 species